GCAGUUAGCUUAGUAGGUUAGAGUAUGUGUUUCGCAAAUACAAGAUGAGGGUUCGAUUCCCCCACUGUCC
rnacentral:ncRNA from 14 species